rnacentral:rRNA from 1 species
AGAGUUUGAUCCUGGCUCAGGAUGAACGCUAGCGACAGGCCUAACACAUGCAAGUCGAGGGGCAGCGCGGAGGUAGCAAUACUUCUGGCGGCGACCGGCGCACGGGUGAGUAACACGUAUGCAAUCUGCCUGUAACAGGGGGAUAACCCGGAGAAAUCCGGCCUAAUACCCCAUAACGACGAGAUCUCGCAUGGGGAUUCGUCUAAAGAGAGCAAUCUUGGUUACAGAUGAGCAUGCGGUCCAUUAGCCAGUUGGCGGGGUAACGGCCCACCAAAGCGACGAUGGAUAGGGGUUCUGAGAGGAAGGUCCUCCACAUUGGAACUGAGACACGGUCCAAACUCCUACGGGAGGCAGCAGUGAGGAAUAUUGGUCAAUGGUCGGCAGACUGAACCAGCCAAGUCGCGUGAAGGAAGACGGCCCUAAGGGUUGUAAACUUCUUUUGUCGGAGAGUAAAGGUCUUCACGAGUGGAGAUUUGCAAGUAUCCGAAGAAAAAGCAUCGGCUAACUCCGUGCCAGCAGCCGCGGU